UACGAAGGGGGCUAGCGUUGUUCGGAAUCACUGGGCUUAAAGGGCGCGUAGGCGGGCCGCCGCGUCCGGGGUGAAAUCCCCCCGCUCAACGGGGGGACGGCCUCGGAUACGGGCGGCCUGGAGGCGGGUAGGGGCACGCGGAACUGUGGGUGGAGCGGUGAAAUGCGUUGAGAUCCACAGGAACUCCGGUGGCGAAGGCGGCGUGCUGGACCCGUCCUGACGCUGAGGCGCGAAAGCCAGGGGAGCAAACGGG
rnacentral:rRNA from 1 species